AACGAACGCUGGCGGCAUGCCUAACACAUGCAAGUCGAACGAAGUCUUCGGACUUAGUGGCGGACGGGUGAGUAACACGUGGGAACGUGCCUUUAGGUUCGGAAUAACUCAGGGAAACUUGUGCUAAUACCGAAUGUGCCCUUCGGGGGAAAGAUUUAUCGCCUUUAGAGCGGCCCGCGUCUGAUUAGCUAGUUGGUGAGGUAAAGGCUCACCAAGGCGACGAUCAGUAGCUGGUCUGAGAGGAUGAUCAGCCACAUUGGGACUGAGACACGGCCCAAACUCCUACGGGAGGCAGCAGUGGGGAAUCUUGCGCAAUGGGCGAAAGCCUGACGCAGCCAUGCCGCGUGAAUGAUGAAGGUCUUAGGAUUGUAAAAUUCUUUCACCGGGGACGAUAAUGACGGUACCCGGAGAAGAAGCCCCGGCUAACUUCGUGCCAGCAGCCGCGGUAACAC
rnacentral:rRNA from 1 species